UGCAGUCGAGCGAACCGACGGGAGCUUGCUCCCUUAGGUUAGCGGCGGACGGGUGAGUAACACGUGGGUAACCUGCCUGUAAGACUGGGAUAACUCCGGGAAACCGGGGCUAAUACCGGAUGCUUGAUUGAACCGCAUGGUUCAAUUAUAAAAGGUGGCUUUUAGCUACCACUUACAGAUGGACCCGCGGCGCAUUAGCUAGUUGGUGAGGUAACGGCUCACCAAGGCGACGAUGCGUAGCCGACCUGAGAGGGUGAUCGGCCACACUGGGACUGAGACACGGCCCAGACUCCUACGGGAGGCAGCAGUAGGGAAUCUUCCGCAAUGGACGAAAGUCUGACGGAGCAACGCCGCGUGAGUGAUGAAGGUUUUCGGAUCGUAAAACUCUGUUGUUAGGGAAGAACAAGUACCGUUCGAACAGGGCGGUGCCUUGACGGUACCUAACCAGAAAGCCACGGCUAACUACGUGCCAGCAGCCGCGGUAAUACGUAGGUGGCAAGCGUUGUCCGGAAUUAUUGGGCGUAAAGCGCGCGCAGGCGGUUUCUUAAGUCUGAUGUGAAAGCCCCCGGCUCAACCGGGGAGGGUCAUUGGAAACUGGGGAACUUGAGUGCAGAAGAGGAGAGUGGAAUUCCACGUGUAGCGGUGAAAUGCGUAGAGAUGUGGAGGAACACCAGUGGCGAAGGCGACUCUCUGGUCUGUAACUGACGCUGAGGCGCGAAAGCGUGGGGAGCGAACAGGAUUAGAUACCCUGGUAGUCCACGCCGUAAACGAUGAGUGCUAAGUGUUAGAGGGUUUCCGCCCUUUAGUGCUGCAGCAAACGCAUUAAGCACUCCGCCUGGGGAGUACGGUCGCAAGACUGAAACUCAAAGGAAUUGACGGGGGCCCGCACAAGCGGUGGAGCAUGUGGUUUAAUUCGAAGCAACGCGAA
rnacentral:rRNA from 1 species